rnacentral:rRNA from 1 species
UACGUAGGGUGCAAGCGUUGUCCGGAAUUAUUGGGCGUAAAGAGCUCGUAGGCGGUUUGUCGCGUCGUCCGUGAAAACCUGGGGCUCAACCCCAGGCUUGCGGUCGAUACGGGCAGGCUGGAGUUCGGUAGGGGAGACUGGAAUUCCUGGUGUAGCGGUGAAAUGCGCAGAUAUCAGGAGGAACACCGGUGGCGAAGGCGGGUCUCUGGGCCGAUACUGACGCUGAGGAGCGAAAGCGUGGGGAGCGAACAGG